rnacentral:rRNA from 1 species
GACGAACGCUGGCGGCGUGCUUAACACAUGCAAGUCGAACGGAAAGGCCCUGCUUUUGUGGGGUGCUCGAGUGGCGAACGGGUGAGUAACACGUGAGUAACCUGCCCUUGACUUUGGGAUAACUUCAGGAAACUGGGGCUAAUACCGGAUAGGAGCUCCUGCUGCAUGGUGGGGGUUGGAAAGUUUCGGCGGUUGGGGAUGGACUCGCGGCUUAUCAGCUUGUUGGUGGGGUAGUGGCUUACCAAGGCUUUGACGGGUAGCCGGCCUGAGAGGGUGACCGGCCACAUUGGGACUGAGAUACGGCCCAGACUCCUACGGGAGGCAGCAGUGGGGAAUAUUGCACAAUGGGCGGAAGCCUGAUGCAGAAACGCCGCGUGCGGGAUGACGGCCUUCGGGUUGUAAACCGCUUUCGCCUGUGACGAAGCGGGAGUGACGGUAAUGGGUAAAGAAGCACCGGCUAACUACGGG